UCGCGGCUUAUCACCGGCAGUCCCCUUAGAGUGCCCAACUGAAUGGUGGCAACAUAGGACGAGGGUUGCGCUCGUUGCGGGACUUAACCCAACAUCUCACGACACGAGCUGACGACAACCAUGCACCACCUGUACAGAACCCUUGCGGACCCGACAUCUCUGCCGGAUUUCCCUGUAUGUCAAGCCUUGGUAAGGUUCUUCGCGUUGCGUCGAAUUGAACCACAUGCUCCACCGCUUGUGCGGGCCCCCGUCAAUUCCUUUGAGUUUUAACCUUGCGGCCGUACUCCCCAGGCGGGGCGCUUAAUGCGUUAGCUACGGCACGGAUCCCGUGGAAGGAAACCCACACCUAGCGCCCACCGUUUACGGCGUGGACUAC
rnacentral:misc_RNA from 1 species